rnacentral:lncRNA from 1 species
GCAAUUCUGCUUUGUCAAAAGUAGAAUCAACAACAGAAGAGGCUGCCUUAGUGUGUUCGCUAUCCUCUGCUCCACUUGCACCUUCUUGACGACCACCGGGAGGAAUUGGAAUAGGAGAUGUAGGUGGCUUUAAAUCUUCAUAACUGCCAAGAUUAAAUCAGUCAGCAAAUAAGAUACACUAUGCUUGCGUGUAAGUAGUUGGAUUAACUCAGGAAUGACUUAACGCAGUGUAUGGAGACAAAGGCCUUGUAGUCAGCAAUUCUGCUUUGUCAAAAGUAGAAUCAACAACAGAAGAGGCUGCCUUAGUGUGUUCGCUGUCUUCUGCUCCAGUUGCACCUUCUUGACGACCACCGGGAGGAAUUGGACUAGGAGAUGUAGGUGGCUUUAAAUCUUCAUAACUGCCAAGAUUAAAUCAGUCAGCAAAUAAGAUACACUAUGCUUGCGUGUAAGUAGUUGAACUAACUCAGGAAUGACUUAACGCAGUGUAUGGAGACAAAGGCCUUGUAGUCAGCAAUUCUACUUUGUCAAAAGUAGAAUCAACAACAGAAGAAACUGCUUUAGUAGGUUCACCAUCUUCUGCUCCACUUGAACCUUCUUGACGACCUCCGGGAGGAUUUGGACUAGGAGAUGUAGGUGGCUUUAAAUCUUCAUAACUGCCAACAUUGAAUCAGUCAGCAAAUAAAAUACACUAUACUUGCGUGUAAGUAGUUGGACUAACUCAGGAAUGACUUAACGCAGCAUAUGGAGACGAAGGUCUUGUAGUCAGCAAUUCUGCUUUGUC